rnacentral:rRNA from 1 species
CCAAGGAGUCUAACAUGUACGCGAGUCAUUGGGAUUCUCAAGCCUAAAGGCGUAAUGAAAGUAAAGGUCUUCCUCGCGUUGACCAAGGGAAGAUGGCUCGCGUCACGAUGCGAGCCCGCACUCCCGGGGCGUCUCGAGCUCAUCACGAGCUGAGGCGCACCAAGAGCGUACACGUUGGGACCCGAAAGAUGGUGAACUAUGCCUGGUCAGGACGAAGUCAGGGGAAACCCUGAUGGAGGUCCGUAGCGAUUCUGACGUGCAAAUCGAUCGUCGGAACUGGGUAUAGGGGCGAAAGACUAAUCGAACCAUC